GCUUAUCACUCCACAAUGUUGAGCCGAGUUUUCACGGUUACUGCAUUACUUUCCGGCUCGCCACAUCA
rnacentral:snoRNA from 1 species